UGGGGUUCUGUGCUGAGCUGGGCCCA
rnacentral:piRNA from 1 species